UACGUAGGCAGCGAGCGUUGUUCGGAAUUACUGGGCGUAAAGAGUGUGUAGGCGGUGCUCCCAGUCUGUUGUGAAAUCUCCCGGCUUAACUGGGAGGGUGCAGCGGAAACUAGAGUGCUAGAGGGUGGGAGAGGUAAGCGGAAUUCCUCGUGUAGCGGUGAAAUGCGUAGACAUCAGGAGGAACACCUGUGGUGUAGACAGCUUACUGGACCACUUCUGACGCUGAGACACGAAAGCGUGGGUAGCAAACAGG
rnacentral:rRNA from 1 species